AUUGAACGCUGGCGGCAGGCCUAACACAUGCAAGUCGAGCGGAUGAAGGGAGCUUGCUCCUGGAUUCAGCGGCGGACGGGUGAGUAAUGCCUAGGAAUCUGCCUGGUAGUGGGGGAUAACGUCCGGAAACGGGCGCUAAUACCGCAUACGUCCUGAGGGAGAAAGUGGGGGAUCUUCGGACCUCACGCUAUCAGAUGAGCCUAGGUCGGAUUAGCUAGUUGGUGGGGUAAAGGCCUACCAAGGCGACGAUCCGUAACUGGUCUGAGAGGAUGAUCAGUCAAACGGAACUGAGACAAGGUCCCGGAUCCUAACGGGGGGCAGAGGGGGGAAUUAUGGAACAAGGGCGAAAGCCUGAUCCAGCCAUGCCGCGUGUGUGAAGAAGGUCUUCGGAUUGUAAAGCACUUUAAGUUGGGAGGAAGGGCAGUAAGUUAAUACCUUGCUGUUUUGACGUUACCAACAGAAUAAGCACCGGCUAACUUCGUG
rnacentral:rRNA from 1 species